UAGGGAAUCUUCCACAAUGGGGCGAAAGCCUGAUGGAGCAACGCCGCGUGGGUGAAGAAGGUCUUCGGAUCGUAAAACCCUGUUGUUAGAGAAGAAAGUGCGUGAGAGUAACUGUUCACGUUUCGACGGUAUCUAACCAGAAAGCCACGGCUAACUACGUGCC
rnacentral:rRNA from 1 species